rnacentral:rRNA from 1 species
AUUGAACGCUGGCGGCAUGCCUUACACACGCAAGUCGAACGCGAAAGGGGGGCAACCCCUGAGUAGAGUGGCGCACGGGUGAGUAAUGCAUCGGAACGUGUCCUGUAGCGGGGGAUAACCUAGCGAAAGCUAGGCUAAUACCGCAUACGCCCUAAGGGGGAAAGUGGGGGAUCGUAAGACCUCACACUAUAGGAGCGGCCGAUGCCGGAUUAGCGAGUUGGUGGGGUAAAAGCUCACCAAGGCGACGAUCCGUAGCUGGUCUGAGAGGAUGAUCGGCCAGACUGGGACUGAGACACGGACCAGACUCCUGCGGGAGGCAGCAGUGGGGAAUUUUGGACAAUGGGGGAAACCCUGAUCCAGCCAUGCCGCGUGAGUGAAGAAGGCCUUCGGGUUGUAAAGCUCUUUCGGCCGGGACGAAAUCGCACGCGUGAAUAUCGUGUGCGGAUGACGGUACCGGCAGAAGAAGGACCGGCUAACUACGUGCCAGCCGCCGCCGUAA